GAUGAACGCUGACAGAAUGCUUAACACAUCAGCAAUUGAUUGGUGGCGGACGGGUGAGUAACGCGUAAAGAACUUGCCUCACAGGUAGGGACAAUAUUUGGAAACGAAUGCUAAUACCUAAUACUGUGAGAGAGCUUUGCGUCCCAUUAGCUAGUUGGAGAGGUAACGGCUCACCAAGGCGAUGAUGGGUAGCCGGCCUGGGAGGGGGAUCGGCCACAAGGUGACUGGGGAACGACCCUUACUCAUUCGGGAGGAAGGGGUGGAGGAUCGUGGAAGAUAGGCCAAAGUCUGAUGCAGGAAUUCGGUGUGCAAGAUGAUGUUUUCGGAAUGUAAAGUGCUUUCAGUUGGGAAGCGGUACCAACAGAAGAAGUGACGGCUAAAUACGUGCCAGCAGCCGCGGUAAUUC
rnacentral:rRNA from 1 species